AAGGAUUUGAGCGAGUUUGACAAAGGACCAAAUUGUGAUGGCUAGACGACUGGAUCAGAGCAUCUCUUGAGGGUGGGGUGUUGCCGGUCUGCAGUGGUCUGUAUCUAUCAAAAGUGGUCCAAGGAUGGAACCGUAGUGAACCGGCGACAGGGUCAUGGGUGACCAAGGCUCACUGAUGCUACUGUUGAUCAAUUUAAUUCUGGUUCUGAUAGAAAUGUGUCAGAGUACACAGCGCAUGACGUUUUAGCAGCAAAAGGGGGACCAACACAAUAUUAGGCAGGUGGUCAUAAUGAUGUGCCUGAUCAGAAACAUAUUCUCAGUGCAGAUUCUUGUUUCUCGGUUGCCAGGAGUGGAAUCGAUGCCAGUGUAGACCAACUGCCUUGACAUCUUAUGCAUUCUGAGAUGCUUUUCUGCUCAUCACGGUGGUACAUAGUGAUUAUUUGAGUUAACAUAGUACAGUACAGAGUAUUGUGUGUGUGUGUAAAUCCAAGGAGUUCAGAUAUUUUUAUAUAAAAAUUCAACCAGUAAAGUAUUUUCACUUGCAGCCGAAUAGUUUCCCAUUUCAGAUGUUUUAUGUGAGUGUUAACUAAAGCUGUAUCUGCUGCUGUUAAUGAGCAGGGGCUCAUGUUAAUGGAGCCCGGUGAGUGUAUAUUACUAAGAGAACACACUUGUGUGUGAAUGUGUUCACAGCCUAAAUAUUUGAAUCCUGGACGCUGUGCUGCUUUUAGAAACGCUCAACCCCGAAACGUUUUACAGUCACACCUUCGUGAAGAGUUUAAAGCUCCACUUCAUGGUUUUAAAAGCCUCGGUCCUGCAUUAUGUCUGCAGACAAAUGGACACAUACUCCAUCUCUUAUUUUGCUGAAUAAAUAUUUAUCCUUCAUAUCCUGCAGCUUGUAGCCAACCAUUUCUGUGUGGUGUUUAAAACAGGCUACAUUUUCACUCGUAAGGACUGCCUGUUUAUGGGCUUACAGAGCUUUCUCCAAAAAAAAAAAACCCUGUAUGGAAACCUAAAAGAUGGGAAACAUGUCUGCUUGUUUAUUGAAUUGUUUGACUUUGGAAAGUGGAUCUAGGCGUUGUGUGGCGUCUGUGUUUGAUUGUGGAGGCAGUGAGAAGGGGCCAUUUAGAAGAAAUCGUACAUGGAAGCAAUUUGAAAGCAGACUGAGGUUUAGCCAAAUAUGCGGAGGCUGUUUUUCUGAAAUUCUAGAAAUCACAGUGGGUGGGUUUGUGAAACAAAACUUACUCUAGCCAUGAUAGGAAAUAAAUCUCACUGUGGCUCAGAUGAGUAACAAUUUCAUCUUUUCUUUAUUUUGUUGUUGUUUUUGAGGCUACCCCUCAAUGAAAGGGCAACACUGAGAGGAAAAUGGCUUUCUACCUAAACAGGGACACUAGAGAUGCCGACGGUCAGAUGUUUGUUAGGUAGACAGAAGGAGUCAUUGAAGCUCUGCCUUUAUCCUACAGGAGGAUGUUUACUCUCUUCCUGGAGCAGUAUUUCCUGAGAUGACUUUCCACUGAAAUGACUUUCCAGCACAUUCAGUGUUUUUCUUCUCGGCAAUUUUCUGCUGCCUACAGACUUCUGCACCUCUCUGAUGCAAACUCGGCAUAAAUCGUGUGGCAGCUUGUCACUAAAGAGGUUUCCGUCAUUGGGUGAAGCCACUUGGACGAGUGUCAUAUCGUCAACAUGAUGAAAAACCGCCCAGUCAUCAGAACUCACUACUACAUGACAUCUACUGAUGCGCAUUCUUAUGAUACUCAGGACAUCUCUCCAGCGCUCACGUUUUUAGCCUGUAAGGUCAUCUGAGAUGAGACAAGGCAUUAUUUCUGUUCAUGUGGAAAUCUACAUCAUAUUGCUCUGUGGCUGGUCACAGGAGCAUACGACAGCUUUCACACACUAAACGGAAGGAUGCAAAACACCAAAGAAAGUGUGAAUUUUUCACUCGUGUUUACGUCAGUCACUGUGUACCAGUGGGACAACUCAGCUACUUAGCAGUUAAUAUCUUGCAUAAUACCACUCUCGUCCUAACACCAUUCUGAGGCUGAUACAGUCUGUGCCCUGUGCAGCGGAGGACAAGAAAAGAAGUAAAGUAAUGCGAUGGAUGGAUGGAUGGUUUGCUGGAUGAAUGGACAUGAAAAUAAAUAGAUGGAUGAGUGGACAUGCAAAUAGGUGGGUGGAUGGAUGGAUGGAUGGAUGGAUAUAUGUAUGUAUAUGCUGAGGGAUAAACGAACGUAGAUGAGUAGUUGUAUAGAUGGACAUGCGAAAAGAUGGGUGGAGGUAGAGGCAUUUAGAUGAACUGACAAAAUAGAUAGAUGUACAGGCAGAUAGAUGAUGGCCAGACAGUCUGAUAGGUAGAUGAACAGACAGUCAGAUUGCUAGAUGGACAGACAGGUUGAUAUGUAGAUGGACAGACAGGUUGAUAUGUAGAUGGACAGACAGGUUGAUAUGUAGAUGGACAGACAGGUUGAUAUGUAGAUGGACAGACAGGUUGAUAUAUAGAUGGACAGACAGGCUGAUAGAAAAUGGACAGAGGGCUGAUAGAUAGAUGGUCAGACAGGUAGAUAAGUUGAUGGAUACAUGAACAGACAGACCAGUUGAUGGGAUGAAUGGCAGGCAGGCAGGUAGAUAGAUAGAUACACUAAUUGACAGCCAAAUGGAUAGAUCUGCAGAGAAAUGGAUAUAAGAAUGGAGGCACAGACAGACAAAUGGAUGGGCAGAUGGAUGAUCUGACUAGACAAACAGAGAAUAAUUGAACAGACAGGGAGAUAGAUGUAUUAAGAUAUACAGACUGAAAUGGAUGACAGAUGAACAGAUAAUUUAUGGGAAAAUUAAUAACCACACCCAGAAAACGUUUCUUCGGAUCUUUCAGGACAUGGUCCAGCAUGCCUUUGGAAUGUAAAUACUAGUAACAGCUGUCCAUUAAUAGUGGACUUCACCACAGAGAGAAAGACAAUGACCGGUUCGAAUACACAAGACCUAAAGACACAAAUGCAAUUAGAGACGUUUUAUUAAGAAGACACGUAAACUCAGCCAAUGAUGUGGUGUCAGCACACUGUCCAGAUACACUUUAUUAUUAAGAGAGAUCAGUGGAGGAUGGCCACAUUGAUUUGAGCAAAGAGGAAGGCUACUCUUUACAGUCUUUACAGUCAUGGUGUGCAGAAAAGGAUCUCAGAAAGCACAAGACCUUAAACCUUGAGGUAGAUGUGCUACAACAGCAGAAGACCACAUCAUGUUUACUCCCGACAGACAAAAACAGGACGCUUAGGCUACAGAGGGCACAGGCGUACAGAGACGAUUGGAAAAAAUGAGAAAUUUUUUCUUCGAUCAACAGUUUCCGUGACUGUUAUGGCUCCUGCGCAUGAACCCAGCCAUGCUAUCUUGGUAUACUGGGAUUUGCUUCCAGUCUCUAGCCCUAAGUCUUCAGCACUGAGCCACCACUUUUCAUGACUUGUUGCCUCUUCUGGGUUUCUAUCAGUGAUUGGCUUUGACAAGCCUGAGCCUACACCGUGUACCCAGAGCCAGUGAUAUGAGGAAGGAGGAAAUGAGAUUUAACAGAAUGUAGUGAAAAUAUGCACAUCACUCCAUCAACACCAUGAAGGAAUCUGACCUUGGAACUUGGACACAUUCCAGCUGCGUUUCACGUCCCAUUUGCUGUGACGUUCGUGCUGAUGGAAAACGAUGUCAUCACAUCUUCUACAAGGGGAAUGGAAGGAAUUUGGCCGGCCGUGUGACCGCGCUGCCUGCAGUGUGUGUGUGUGUGUGUGUGUGUGUGUGUGUGUGUGUGUUUGUGUGAGAUGACCAGAGACCAACAUGUGACUGUGUGUUCAGUACGCUGGUGCAUUUAAAACAAAGAUUUUCAUCCAGAUAGACUUCCAUUAUUUAUCUAAUUUAGCUUUGUAGCUCCAGGACAAAGCAUUUAUGAUGGAAAAUUGCAUCCACUUUUUUGGUUUCCGGAGUAUCAUCUGUCUAGCAGUGUACACUAAUUUCUCACAUAGUUGAUUUUAAAAAAUCUGUUUAAUUAACUUCUGUUAGUUUUUCCUCUUGCCUCAUCUUACCUCCCCAUGGCAGUUGAAGCAUUUGGAGGACGAGGCACCGUAAUGACCUGUUUUAUAGUGACCGGAUUUGGCCUGAGCACACAGCACGGGGCAGAUCGGGUCUUUUUGUGCACACGCUAAAUUACAUGCUAUAAAAUGCUUCCCAGAGCCUGAUGUUCGUGGCUGGAUGAUUUAUCGUGCAAAUAUCAUUAUAACUCAAUAAAUCCUCGUUGUUUUUCUGUCA